CGCCACAAGGGGAACCCCGCGAAAAUUAGAGAUGCGUGCGCAUUGCGCGCCUUCAUCUGAGCCGACGCGUAAAGCUUCGUUCACAAUACGCUUCGCAGUUGCUCCCUGGGAUAGAGAUAAUAAAUGUUGCGGGUGAGCAAUGGAAAUAGAUCGAAAGGACCACGUUACAUGACUCGAAUUUAUUUGAUGAUGAAAUUUUCCAAAUAUUUUCAUAUAAGAAAACUUUAUAAUAAGAAGCAGUGUUGACAGGAACAAGUAAAUUUGGUUAGUCAAACAGACAAAGUUCUGAUCGUCUCAUCUAUUGCCUACCUAAAGUUUUCUUAUAUAUAUAUUACCUUGAAUAUAAGCUUCCGUUGAACUACUUGUCCAAGAUACUAGGACGUUCGAUCGGUGAAACAACUGCAUAAGCAUUUCCAAGCCUAUUUGGCACUGAGAUACUUUUAAAGCGGCUAGAUCACUUUCGCAUCAAAAUGAAUUAUAAAUCGAACGUAAAACUAUUACAUUUUAUAUUCAAGAGAAUUAUUGCUUUGUGAAGAUAAGAAUUUUCUUUUUGAAAUC